rnacentral:rRNA from 1 species
GAUGAACGCUGGCGGCGUGCCUAAUACAUGCAAGUCGAGCGAACAGACGAGGAGCUUGCUCCUUCGACGUUAGCGGCGGACGGGUGAGUAACACGUAGGUAACCUACCUAUAAGACUGGGAUAACUUCGGGAAACCGGAGCUAAUACCGGAUAAUAUUUCGAACCGCAUGGUUCGAUAGUGAAAGAUGGCUUUGCUAUCACUUAUAGAUGGACCUGCGCCGUAUUAGCUAGUUGGUAAGGUAACGGCUUACCAAGGCAACGAUACGUAGCCGACCUGAGAGGGUGAUCGGCCACACUGGAACUGAGACACGGUCCAGACUCCUACGGGAGGCAGCAGUGGGGAAUCUUCCGCAAUGGGCGAAAGCCUGACGGAGCAACGCCGCGUGAGUGAUGAAGGUCUUCGGAUCGUAAAACUCUGUUAUUAGGGAAGAACAAACGUGUAAGUAACUGUGCACGUCUUGACGGUACCUAAUCAGAAAGCCACGGCUAACUACGU